rnacentral:misc_RNA from 1 species
GAAGUAAAGAGGUGGGUCAGGUCAUAUAAUAUCUCUAGUUUCGGUUUUGUGUUUAAUGGUAGAUCUGUUUCUGUAAUGGAUGAAAAACGACCUUUGUUGGGUUCAGAUCCAAAUAAAAUGAGUUAUCCACAGGGUUACCCAGGGGGUCCACCAGCAGGCCAAUACCCAGGAGGACCACCAGCAGGCCAGUACCCUGGGGGACCACCACAAGGCCAGUACCCAGGUGGACCACCGGCAGGCCAGUACCCUGGGGGACCACCGGCAGGCCAGUACCCAGCGGGACCACCAGCUGGUCAGUACCAAGGAGGGCCACCCCCAGCAGGACAGUACCCACCGCAAGGACAAGGUUAUCCAGCCGGAGGGGCUCCACCCGUGGGUCAUGAGGGUAUCCAGGCACAGUGGCAAGGUGACAUGCCAGAACAGGAUGUAGACGACAACCCCAAUGCUGCCCCAGCCCAACCGUCAGCUCCGCCCCUGGAGAAGAUGGAUACAGUUGCAGGUUACCAGAAUAUUGGGUUUGAUGGGUCUGCAUUGCCACCACCGUCUUACGAGGAAGCAGUGAGAGAACCACCUCAGAGAGCUGAAAUAGCAGGAUUGCCGAGAAUAGACGAGAAUGAGGCCCGUCAAGCAUUGUUAGACUUUGUGGCAGAAAAUUGUUGCUACGGUAAAGGAGCUGCACAAAGUCUGCAUUUCAAAGACCUUGUACAUUCAAGUGCAUUUCAUUACACCCUGGAAACAUUCGGUGAGGGGAGGUCCACAGCUUGGGCAUUUACACCUUAUUCAGGUCAGCCAAUAGAUGGACCCCACAAUGGUCCGGCACCAGGACCUUGGGAUAUAGAUGCUAAACCUCCAAGCUUGUUCCAGAAUCAGAAAGCUGAGAUAGAAGUUCCUCAUACUGCUUCUGUUAAGCCAUGUCAUAACUGUAUGGCAAUGGGAAGAAUUCGUUGUCACAGGUGCUUCGGGCGUGGAAGGGUACGAUGUAGCAGUUGUGCUGGUAGAGGCCACAAGACAGUUUACAGGAAUGGGGAACACGAGCAUGAGAGGUGUCAUUGGUGCCAUGGUGACGGCAGAAGGAGAUGUACGACAUGUAAUGGAUUUGGGAUGAUAACAUGUGUGAGCUGUCAAGGUCAUUGUCAGCUUAAAUGCUACAUCAAAUUGACAAUACUCUGGACUAAUCAUCUGCAAGAUCAUAUAGUAGAGAGGACGGCUCUCCCUGAUCACCUGAUUCGUAAUGUACAAGGUUUGGCCAAUAAAUCAUUUCCCAGAUUCGGAAAUUAACAAUGCAUCACAGAGGAUAGUGAACCAGCAUGCGUCGGCCUUCCCAUCGGAGAGACUUCUCAUGCAGCGACACCAGGUGAGGAUUAUACCUGUCACCCAGGCAUACUACAAGUGGAAGGGAGAAGACAAGGACUACUUUGUGUAUGGAUUUGACAAGAAGGUGUACGCCCCGACAUACCCCCAACAAUGCUGCUGUGGUUGUACU